GUUAACACUAUUGAAAUUUGAUUUAAAAAUUAAACACGUGAAUCGAUGAGUUGUUUUUGCUGAUAUUAGUAGUGAUAAAAUUCGUCCCGCAAAAUCAGAUAUUUUCAUUUGUUUUCCAAGUGCAAGUUGAAGAUUAAUCUUGAUGAUUAUGGGCAAGGAUCUCUUCAAAUUUUAUGUUAUCUCUGGAAAGAAUUGCAGAUUGGUAUCAAGGUCAUAUGAGUUCUGGUUAAUUGAGAGUUUGACAAUUUUAUUAACCUACAAACAGUGAACAAGAUGUAAUUCUUGAAGCAUAAAUGUAAUGUACACUACAUGUAUCAUUAGUAUAGUUUUGUAACUUUAAAGGAAGUUGAUGCUCGAAAUAAUUCAAUAAGUGUACUAUUAGCGAAGAUUGAUAGACUUACUUAGAAAUAGGAGUUGGGGUUGUUUUUUAUAAUUUCUUUUCAUUUAUUAAUUAAGGGUGGGAAGUGUGAAAUCUUUACAGUUCUCAUUUGAUCAACUUAUUUAUUCUCUUCUUUAUGUGCAUUUUUAUUUCAUAUUUUUCUUUACCUAACUUCACUUUUUAUAUCUGCUGUAUAUGUUGUUGCUUUGUAGUUCAUAUGAGUUCUGCUUAAUUGAGUUUGACAAUUUUUAUUAAUCUAGAAACAGUGAACAAGAUGUAAUUCUUGAAGCAUAAAUGUAAAAUUGUACACUGCAUGUAUCAUUAGUAUAGUUUUGUAACUUAAAAGGAGGUUGAUGCUUGGAAUAAUUCAAUCAGUGUACUAUUAGCAGAUAUUGAUAGAGUUAAUUAGAUAUAGGAGUUGCGGUUGUGUUUAAUUAU